rnacentral:rRNA from 1 species
UACGUAGGAUCCGAGCAUUAUCCGGAGUGACUGGGUGUAAAGAGUUGCGUAGGUGGCAUAAUAAGUAGCUAGUGAAAUCUGGUGGCUCAACCAUUCAGACUAUUAGCUAAACUGUUAAGCUCGAGACCGUUAGGGGUAACUGGAAUUUCUAGUGUAGGGUUGAAAUCCGUAGAUAUUAGAAGGAACACCAAUAGCGUAGGCAGGUUACUGGGACGGUUCUGACACUAAGGCACGAAAGCGUAGGGAGCAAACGGG